AUGCUUUACUAUACGCACAAUGAACUCAGUGCAGAUCGGUUUAGUCACCGUGCUGAGAGUACAUGGAUAUCGCCUUGUGUAAAUUGGGAUACUGGUUUGCAGUAAGGUUCGAAAGAUCGUGAGGUCUAUCAGAAUACCGGGCAAAGUCCUAAAGAUAAGUGUAUGUACUAAUUGUAGAUGUAGUAAAUUGUUCAAAUCCGGUCGCAGCAAUAAUAGAGAGCCGCUCUGCGGUGCUGAAGCCUGAUGCCUAUAGUUUGGUACUCUAUAGGAGUUAAGUAAGGUAAUACCAACAUAAGCUGUUUGUCGUGAUGAUUUAGAAAUGAAUCGUAUAAGACCGGUUAUUGGAUCGAGUAGCCCAAGACAAUUAAUUAUUCUAAUCAAAUUAUAGCUAUGGUCUAUAAGUACAAGAAUAUUGGUCAUACUGAAUGAUGGGUGAAAGUUGUGAGUGAAGAAUCUCGCCGAUGGUUGUGGAGUGAUCCACUGGGCAAAAAGCGUAUGAGCGACGGUUCAUAUGCUCAGUUUUGUCUACAUCGUGACAGAAUAUUAUGGGUCUAUGAUUGGCAAUCCGAAGGGAUCAUUGUGCUUAUAAUAAAGC
rnacentral:sRNA from 12 species